CUUGUCUCAAAGAUUAAGCCAUGCAUGUCUAAGUAUAAGCAAUCUAUACUGUGAAACUGCGAAUGGCUCAUUAAAUCAGUUAUCGUUUAUUUGAUAGUACCUUACUACUUGGAUAACCGUGGUAAUUCUAGAGCUAAUACAUGCUAAAAACCUCGACUUCGGAAGGGGUGUAUUUAUUAGAUAAAAAACCAAUGCCCUUCGGGGCUCCUUGGUGAUUCAUAAUAACUUAACGAAUCGCAUGGCCUUGCGCCGGCGAUGGUUCAUUCAAAUUUCUGCCCUAUCAACUUUCGAUGGUAGGAUAGUGGCCUACCAUGGUUUCAACGGGUAACGGGGAAUUAGGGUUCUAUUCCGGAGAGGGAGCCUGAGAAACGGCUACCACAUCCAAGGAAGGCAGCAGGCGCGCAAAUUACCCAAUCCCGACACGGGGAGGUAGUGACAAUAAAUACUGAUACAGGGCUCUUUUGGGUCUUGUAAUUGGAAUGAGUACAAUUUAAAUCCCUUAACGAGGAACAAUUGGAGGGCAAGUCUGGUGCCAGCAGCCGCGGUAAUUCCAGCUCCAAUAGCGUAUAUUAAAGUUGUUGCAGUUAAAAAGCUCGUAGUUGAACCUUGGGCCUGGCUGGCCGGUCCGCCUCACCGCGUGCACUGGUCCGGCCGGGCCUUUCCUUCUGGGGAGCCGCAUGCCCUUCACUGGGNGUGUCGGGGAACCAGGACUUUUACUUUGAAAAAAUUAGUGUUUCAAAGCAGGCCUAUGCUCGAA
rnacentral:rRNA from 1 species